rnacentral:rRNA from 1 species
UACGGAGGGGACUAGCGUUGUUCGGAAUUACUGGGCGUAAAGCGCACGUAGGCGGAUUGUUAAGUCAGGGGUGAAAUCCCGAGGCUCAACCUCGGAACUGCCUUUGGUACUGGCAAUCUCGAGUCCGGAAGAGGUGAGUGGAAUUCCUAGUGUAGAGGUGAAAUUCGUAGAUAUUAGGAAGAACACCAGUGGCGAAGGCGGCUCACUGGUCCGGUACUGACGCUGAGGUGCGAAAGCGUGGGGAGCAAACAGG